rnacentral:rRNA from 1 species
GAUGAACGCUAGCGGCAGGCCUAACACAUGCAAGUCGAGGGGUAGAGGAAGCUUGCUUCCUUGAGACCGGCGCACGGGUGCGUAACGCGUAUGCAAUCUACCUUUUACAGAGGGAUAGCCCAGAGAAAUUUGGAUUAAUACCUCAUAGUAUUUUCGAAUGGCAUCAUUUGAUUAUUAAAGUUCCAACGGUAAAAGAUGAGCAUGCGUCCUAUUAGCUAGAUGGUAAGGUAACGGCUUACCAUGGCAACGAUAGGUAGGGGUCCUGAGAGGGAGAUCCCCCACACUGGUACUGAGACACGGACCAGACUCCCACGGGAGGCAGCAGUGAGGAAUAUUGGACAAUGGGCGCAAGCCUGAUCCAGCCAUGCCGCGUGCAGGAAGACGCAUCUAUGGUGUGUAAACUGCUUUUGUACGGGAAGAAACACUCCCUCGUGAGGGAGCUUGACGGUACCGUAAGAAUAAGGAUCGGCUAACUCCGUGCCAGCAGCCGCCGUAACAC